UAAAUGUUUAGCUGACUUUAAAUUGAUUAAAUUGAUGUAGAGUUGGUGGAUAACCGCCGAGCUCUCCGCACCUUAAACCGAUUGCUAUGAGAUUCGUGUAAACGUAGUCAUGCGCCGAUCCGGCCACUCCCCAAUCCCACGAGUGAAAAAAAAGAAGGGGAAAAAAAAAAUCCAAGAGAGCAUUAGGGUUUUGUUUCCGGACAUGUGAUCAAAGGAUCCUUUCGAAUCCGCUGUUGAAGAUCAAGAAUCUCCGCCAGAAUCGCCGAUCCCGCCGGAGAAGGACGCCGCCGGUGACGAGGAGGAGGUCGACGCGCGGUCGCAGCCGCCGUCAGAGGGAGGGGAAAGGAGGAAGAGGAGGACGACAGCAUGAAGGAGCUCGGCAAAUUCCCCUCUGGCGGUGACCCCGACAAGAUGGCCAAGGUUUACUAGAAUAGUCAUGAUAGAAAGAAAAGAGACUGGGCCCCUCAGGCCUUGUUGCAUCAGGGAAGCAUAUAGAAGACUGAAGCUUGAAUGGAUUUCAAGGCUCUUCCAAUAGAGGAGUUUGGAUCAUUAUUGAAUGGAUUUAUCAGGUUUUUGUCUACCAACCUUUCUUUUAAAGUAAUGUCAGGCCUACAUUUGCUUGUGCUUGAUGGCUUCUGCUUAGGAUUGCUGCAUCUUUUGUGGAAUUGGCCUCCAAAUGCUUGGCUUAUGUACAUUUGAUGAUUUCUACUCUUAGAUAUCCAUUGGAGUAAAAUGCAAGAUCAAAUAUUAGUAAAAUUGUGUUUCAGAAAAUGUGUAACUUAUCUUUGUGCAUCCUUUGAGGCUCAUGGCUAUAGCUAAUACGAAUCUUCUAUAAUGUUUUCAUUAGCAAUAUGAUUUAUUGUACAGGCAGAUGAUUCAGUUCUCUUAUGUACUUUAAAAAAAAAACUUCUUUCCCCCUAUUUCUAUAUAAUCUCCUCUUUGACUGCAAGCUAGCGAUGCAUAGUUUCUAUAUAACAUUUAUGUUAUGAUCAUUACAUACUUACUGCAUUCAAAAUUCUUCCACUCCAUUCGUGGUGAAAGGUAAUCAAACAAAUUCAGGAAAGGGUAGUAAGACACUUUCAAACAUCAGGAGUAUAAUUUUCUGUUUACUUCAUUGUGGGUGGAAUGAGAAGCUAAAUAAGUCCAAUUAGCAGAAAUGAAUAAGUCUGCAAAAUGAUUUUGAUUUAAAUUUCAGUUAUCAACUACAGAAUUACUUAUACAAAUCUGCAUCAUACUCCUGUAUGAUCCAUUGAAAUCUUAAGUAUAUAAAAGCAAACCACUUGCCUGUGAUUUAGAAGAAAAAAAUAUAAACAAAUUGCCCAAAAAUGUUUCAGCUUUAUCCAUGGGCAAUAAUCAUAAUAAUAUAACAAUAAGCAGCUAUAAUGCAUGUGCAUGUCAUAAAACACCUUGAGACUGUAGGAAUUAUAUCUGGAGAGCUUUGCAGGGAUCUGAAUCUUAAGACAUUCACAGAUAUUACUUUUAAUCACUCAUUGCAUCAUUCAAAGAAUUCAUAAUCUUUUGGAGUUGAUAUUUUUUGUUCUACCUAAGUCCGUCCAACUAGCUAAAGUAAAUAAAUUUGCAAGUUGACUUUGAUCAAAUUUCAUCUUUAUGUAUGAGAAUGAAACUCAAGUCAUCAACUAUGUGAUUGCUGCUAUAGAUCUAUAUUACUUCAUAUUGUUGAUCAGGUUUCAUGUUUACCAAUAAGUAUUGCUGAAGCAUUUUUGAACAAUUGGUUCUUUAUUUUCUAAUAACUCACAAUUGAGAUUUCAGCGAGGAGGAAGAAGGAGAUGAUGAUGAUAAACAGGCAGAUAUGAAGAAAGAGUUUGUGCAUGUUUCCAUUUCUUGCUUGUUUGAUUGCUUAAGAAAUUCCGAUAUAUUAGAUUAUUUUGCUCAAAUAAGUGCAGUGUUUCCCAUAAUUCACAAAGUUUUGGGAGAGAAUUUCUCAUUCCAUCUAUUAUUCUCAGUUAUUCAAUUAGUCACUGUGAUGAUCUUAACUCUCACCCUUAAGGCCUCUUUCACCUACAUGGAUUAUUUUUCACAGAUAUCCUCCUGAAUUUUGUUUACAUGGGACUUGAUUAUGCUUUCUUUUCUUGGAAUGUAGACCAAAAGUUGCUUAAGCUCACCUAGCUUUGCAUGCAGAGAAGAUGAACAAAGCUCAAAGAUGAUCAAAAUUUAGACUUAUCUUUGUGGUACUACCUCCAUUCAAGCUUCAAAUCAAGUGAUUUUUGGUCCCAUGCUUGAAGUCCCUUUUGAAGCAAUAGCUUACAAAUUAGGCAUAAUUUCUGAUUAGUUUUGCCAGAAUUAGUGUCCAACUUAUUUCUUCAUAUUGCUGAAAUAAGCUCUCAAAGUCACUUUCCAAUUUACCUGCAUAUUGAAAAUAACAAAAAUGACUAUUAGACAACUAAACUUAGAUUUUGCGGGAGGUUCUUAUUAAAAGCCUGGGAUGUCAUCAUCUCAUCGUGUUUGGAGUUUUUUGUUGAAUUAACGGGAUAAAUGGCUAUUUUGUAAGGCACGGUUCGUUGAGCACCAUUGUAACAGAGUUGGGGUUAAACAUCUCCAUAAGGAAGUUAAAUUAGUUGUAUUGAGGUACUUAAUUUUAUUUGUUAAGUGUUGUCUGUGGUCUUGUCGAGAUGAUAAUAGUGACUAUUUCUCUGGCAAACAUGAGAACUGAAUGGCACCUGUAACAUGAACUUCUUGUUUUAACAUGGCUAUAUGGUCGGACAUAUUAUGUUCAGUGGUAUAAUAACAAGUACUUCAAUUGUGUGACAUGCUGAGAUAUUAUUAAUGCAGCAGCAUUUCUCUGCCAAACAUGUAAAAUGAAUGAUGAUUGCAACAUUGAACUUUGUCGGUCGUCGUCUCGUCAUAUCUUCAUGUUUGGAGAAAGGUAUGGCAUUGCCGGUGGUAGAAUGGUGUUCAGAAGAACCAGUCUAUAAAGAGGUCUGAACCAGGUUUUCUAUGAUAUGUUGUUGCACAUUAUCUAAGUCAAGCUGAGAUAGUAAUAAUAGAGCAACUAUUUGCAUGUUUUUCACUGAAAAAUCUUUGAGUCAGUAUAAAACUGUAGGGUUAAUAAACUACCAAGGAUUCUGUCGGAGGGGACCAUCCUCAAAGGAAAUCCAUGUAGAAAAAUCUAAUUAAUAGAGAAUCUGAGGGAUCGUUUUUAGAGGCUAUUAUAUUUAGAGGCUAGUUGCCUGUUAAGGUUUCAGCAUUAGGUGACAUCUGUGGUAGAGCUUGGUGCAGAAGGCUUUUAUAAGCCAACCACCACUUGAGAAUAAGGCUUGAUACUUAUGGUUUUACUAACUAUUUGAUUCUUCUGGAUGGAUUCGUAUGGAAGGGAAGCAGAAGUAGAGGAGCAUGCAGGAGACAAUUGCAGUGUGAUGAAAUCUGAAUCAUGAUCGGGAGCUGUAAAAGAUAAUUUCCAUCUAUCAUGAUCCAUCUAUCUCUCACUGGAAAUUUGUCUUGGUCAAACCCCUCUUGUUUCUGUAAGAGGUUUUCUUGGCUCUCACAGAUAAUCAUAUUCAACUCGCCUAAGAAUAAUUUAUUUGCGUUUUGAAGCAAACAAAAAAAAAAAAAAGCCUCAUCAUCCAUGAUAUCUUUGUAUGAAUACUUUUAUUUGCUUUAGGUUCUAGACUAAUCUGGGGAACGAGAUUUCUUGACCCUGCCGGUCCUUUUCCCUUUUCUCCCCUUGCCGGUAAAAUGAAGUAGACGGCUUGCUCUGGAGAUCUUAUCAGAGCAAACAUCUCAGUGUCUCCGAACAUUUGUAGCAGAAGCGAGGUCCAUCAUGGACCCUCUGUUUGCAGAUCAUUUGGAUCUUUCUGAAGCAAGAUAGAUGGAUGGUUGUGAUCUAUCCAUCAGCUUGUUUUAUGUGCAGAACAGGACAAGGCCCAGGAUUUGCAUCGUAUAUAAGCUGGGAUGCCCAAAAAUUCUAAUCUACUCUCCAACCUUCUACUUUGUAUAAAGAAUUCCUGUACAAUCUUUGACUGCCAUCAUCUAUUCUCCGCAGAUGUAUUAAAGCUUUGUCACGAGUCCGUUACUUAGUUAACGUUGUGUGGCCCAUGCCCGUGACAAGGGGGGAAAAAAAAUAAGGGUGAUAACUUUCUAUCUAGCCUUUGCACAUGGAAACCCAUUCUUCCAGUGCUGCUGCUGUAAGCUUCUUUUGAUCCGGCCAUAUCUUUAGUACAGAGCUGCCGUGAGAUGAAGAGAGUAAUAAAAAUGUGGUGGCUGCAAGACUGGUUUCUAUCCUCACCUUAUGGAGCAUAUGCGUGUGCUCAGGAUGGCGUUAGUGACGUCUUGGAUCUCGUGGACCCUGGCAAGACCAUGAAUCCUGUGAGUGGGGAAACGAAGUGGGUUGAGUCAGCCUGGACUCAACUGUGGGUCCUGAGGUUUGGGAUUUGUAUCUUAAGAUUGUAGUGAGGCUACCAUGGGGGCAGAAAUGGGUCAGGGUUUUGUCCAAAUCAGUUGGGUUCAAGUGGUUAUCUGACCUUUUUUUUGUUUUUGUUUUUGGCGACUCUGCUUGAACAUGAACUUUGAUCCCCUUUUUGGAACUGCAACUCUGCAAGUCAAGAAGAUUAUUAUUUACUGAAAUUACUUUAAUUUUAUUUACUAUAAUUGCAUUAUAGCUCUGUAUUUAUGUGGAAG